GAUGAACGCUAGCGGCAGGCCUAAUACAUGCAAGUCGAGGGAGAAGUUUGGUGCUUGCACUAGAUGGGAACCGGCGAACGGGUGCGUAACACGUAUGCAACCUACCUAUAACUGGGGGAUAGCCCGAAGAAAUUCGGAUUAAUACCCUAUAAUAUUUUGAUCUCUCAUGGGAUUGAUUUUAAAACUCCGGUGGUUAUAGAUGGGCAUGCGGUCUAUUAGUUUGUUGGUGAGGUAACGGCUCACCAAGACUACGAUAGAUAGGGGGUCUGAGAGGAUGAUCCCCCACACUGGUACUGAGACACGGACCAG
rnacentral:rRNA from 1 species